ACAACAUUCGGACCGUCGGUCUACCGAGCAAUAUCACCCGCUCGGUGGGAGAUCUCCCCUUUGUCGU
rnacentral:pre_miRNA from 1 species